CUGCAGUGAUGACUUUCUUAGGACACCUUUGGAUUAAUCAUGAAAAGAUGAUGGGUUUUCUGAGCAGC
rnacentral:snoRNA from 1 species